rnacentral:rRNA from 1 species
UAGGGAAUAUUAGAAAUGGACGAAAGUCUGAUCUAGCAACACCGCGUGUGCGAAGAAGGCCUUCGGGUCGUAAAGCACUUUUUGGAAGGAAUAGGAAGGAAUGUACUUCCAGAAUAAGUCUCGGCUAACUACGUGCCAGCAGCCGCGGUAACACGUAGGAGGCGAACGUUAUCCGGAUUUACUGGGCGUAAAGCGCGUGUAGGUGGUGCUGUAAGUAGGGCGUGAAAGCUCCUGGCUCAACUGGGAGAGGCCGUUCUAAACUACAGAACUAGAGGAUGGUAGAGGGAGGUGGAAUUCCAGGUGUAGCGGUGGAAUGCGCAGAUAUCUGGAGGAACACCGGUGGCGAAGGCGGCCUCCUGGACCAUCCCUGACACUCAGACGCGAAAGCUAGGGUAGCAAACGG